UACAGAGGGAGCUAGCGUUGUUCGGAAUUACUGGGCGUAAAGCGCGCGUAGGUGGCUUGGUAAGUUAGGAGUGAAAUCCCAGGGCUUAACCCCGGAAUUGCUCUUAAGACUGCUAAGCUCGAGGUAGGCAGAGGAUGGUAGAAUUCCUAGUGUAGCGGUGAAAUGCGUAGAUAUUAGGAGGAAUACCAGUGGCGAAGGCGGCCAUCUGGGCCUAUUCUGACACUAAAGUGCGAAAGCGUGGGGAUCAAAC
rnacentral:rRNA from 1 species